CCCGCCGCCGCCGCCGCAGGCCGGGAUUCCCCCGGCGCCGCGCGUGUUACUUUCGCUGUCGAUUAUUCAGCGCUGAUGGAAAAUUGUGUCACGAGCAGCUCCGCCGCCUCUCUGAACCGCGGCCGGUGCCCACGUGAAUGCAGCCCCGGUCUGCCCGGGCUUCCCCSGCCCGGGCCGGUGAUGCGCCACGUGGCCGCGGAGUUUCGACGGCUUUGGGGGACCGUGAGCUGCCUCGCGAGGCCUCCGGGCGCCUCGGUGCAGCGCCGGGGCCGCCGGCAGCCCGGGGUGGGGACGCCCCUGGGCUGCRGGGCAGCAGGGGCAGGAGCGGCACCUGCCUCCGGUUUGGCCCCGGCGCUUUUUCCGCGUACCGGGAGCUGGUACCUGCUAGGGCAGGGCGUCACCCRCCUUUCUGUGUCCCAGUUUGCAGCGCCUGAGCCAGCGUGGAGCCGGGAGCUGAAGAGACAGGCCAGGGAAGCCGCCAGUGGGAACGGGAGCGGGGCUGGGUGCCCGCAGCAGGACGGGGUGCCCAGGGCAGCUGGGGAGAAGGACAUCGAUCUCCAGACGCCGGCAAAGUCUCCGGGCAGGAAAGAGGAUCAGGAGAGCCCUGCGUUUGGCAGCUCUAACGACGCUUUGCUGGAUCGAGAGUCCCGAGAUGUCACGGCUCCGGAGAUCCUGGCGUCCCAGGCCAGCUCGGCAGAUCAUGCUGCGGGUAAAUACUACGAAAAAACGAGCAACGGGAGAAAAGGGCAAACCGGAAACGUUCUCCGGGAUCCCCGCGGACACGGAAGCCCCCCACGGGAUCCAUAACGCAGCGGCUAACGGGAGCCACUUCGGCCUGCCGCGGGGCUUCCGCUGGGGUCCGCGUGYGGCCUGGAGAGCGCGCGGAGGUCCGAAACCCGGAAAGGGGGCGACUCUGUCCCGCUGGCAGCGUGGGCGGAAACUUAGAGCCCAGCCACGUUUCCUCCGCUGCCCCGUUAGCAUUAAAAAGCACCUGGGAGCCCGAGAGGCAGCAAACGYUGCGCUCAGUGAGUGCCUCUGCGUGCACCUGCCACCUGCGAGCCCCGAAUAGGGCGAGUGAGAGGGAAAAGGAGCAUCUCUGCGUUCUCCGAGCGUGCCGCCCGCUCCGGCCUGCUGCUCUUAUUUUGAUAUUUUGCAGACGUCUGGUCUGGCAGCCGGCAGAGGAGAAACGAAACGCGAUGGCCGGGGUUUCUAGGCGCCCCGGCUUUCCCGGGAAGGCCGCACGCGCACCCUGCGCCCGUCUGCCCGAGACCGGACCGGGCGAGCGGGGCGUCCUCUUGCCGGGCGAGCGCUGCGGGAAGGGAGCGCGUGGCGACGGGAUGGGAUGGGA
rnacentral:lncRNA from 1 species